CUUACAACUAACUAGUUGCUUUGCAGAAAAAAUGGGCCCUGGGUUGGGCUGCAGCCUCUAUCCCCUCUCUGUGUUCCAGGGAAGGUGCCACGGAGGGGUUAAUCAGGGAUUGCCUUUUCAAAAAUUCAGGCCCCUGUUGGAAGAGUUUCCUGAAGAAUGUGUGAGCAUGAAAUGUUGGCAGCUUUUGAAAAGGUGGGAAGCUAUGAAGAAGUACAUUUCCCAUAUGGCUUUUAGGAUACACUGUGGCUUGAUGAGGGAAAGCAAUAUGGAUACCCCUGAAAAAGUCCUUUGGGGUCUGCACAGCAAAAUCCCAGUGGAUCCUAGUCACAAAGUCUCUCUAGACAGUCACAAAGAAGGUGUGAAUUUUUU
rnacentral:lncRNA from 1 species